rnacentral:rRNA from 1 species
UACGUAGGCAGCAAGCGUUGUUCGGAGUUACUGGGCGUAAAGAGUAUGUAGGCGGUUGGGUAAGUUUGGUGUGAAAUCUCCCGGCUUAACUGGGAGGGUGCGCUAAAGACUGCCUGGCUCGAGUGUGGGAGAGGAAAGCGGAAUUCCUGGUGUAGCGGUGAAAUGCGUAGAUAUCAGGAGGAACACCUGCGGUGUAGACGGCUUUCUGGACCAUAACUGACGCUGAGACGCGAAAGCGUGGGGAGCAAACAGG